GAUGAAGAACGUAGCGAAAUGCGAUACUUGGUGUGAAUUGCAGAAUCCCGUGAACCAUCGAGUCUUUGAACGCAAGUUGCGCCCGAGGCCGUCAGGCCGAGGGCACGCCUGCCUGGGCGUCACACGCCGUUGCCCCCCCGCGCCCCGCACCCAACUCUUUGGGAGCGACCGCGGGGCGGGCUGAUGAUGGCCUCCCGUGCGCUCCGCCGCGCGGUUGGCCCAAAUACCGAGUCCCCGGCGACGUGCGCCACGACGAUCGGUGGUUGAGAGACCUCUGUCGCAAGUCGUGCGCGCCCGUCGCGUCACGCGGGCUCGCAUAGCGCCUCGCGCCGCACCCGGUGCGGAGCUUUCAACGCGACCCCAGGUCAGGCGGGGUUACCCGCUGAAUUUAAGCAUAUCAAUAAGCGGAGGA
rnacentral:misc_RNA from 1 species